AAUAAAGAAUAUCCGCAUUCAUAUUCCUACUCCAGUAAGAGAAGCACUCAUUCCAAUUUCGUUGAGGAAGGUCCAUGACUUCUAAUCAGGGCUAUGUUUUUGUAUAAACUGUGUUUGGCGGUGUACUGACCGUGAUCUAUGGUACUGAAUGCAACUUCUUACGCAGAAUACAUCGGAAUUUCUGAAUGCAUACUCUAAAAGCAUCAUUGUAAAAAGCACUUCGCGUAAGAAGCGUGGAGGCUGAUUUCUUUUCUCGCGAGAGAGUGAUUGAGGACCUCUGACACCUACCAAUGCAAUUAAAGACAAUAACAAAUUUUCGGACAGAGGCCGCACGAUCUCAGAAUGCCUUUGCAUCAGGAUGAAGAUGGACAGCAUUUCUAAAAUGGCAAAGAAUUCAUUCCUGUAGCUUUCCUUCAUAGUGGUUCCCUUGUCAAGGUACAUCCACAUGUAGAAGGAAGAGAAUGCCUCCAGAUGUAGAGUAGCUGUGAAUAUACUGAAAUGCAGCAACAGUGACUGAAGCGGCAGAUAGCAUAUGAAAUGGUAUUAUGGAGAUACAUGGUAUAUUUGAACAGCAGCAAGUGUGGGUGGCUUUAGGCCUCACAUUGUAAAUGAUAAUGAAUUAAAUCACAUGCAGUCUUACAAAUAGAUCAUUCUGUAUUGAAAGUUCCAACUGCAGCUUUAUUUAAAAAGAGAAAUAAAUUAAUUAGAUGUAAAGUACUUAAAAUAAUUUGAGCCGGGAUAGCUCAGUCAGUAUAGUGACUAGCUACGGGCUGGACGACCGGGGUUCGAUCCCCGACGAGGGCA